AUUGAACGCUGGCGGCAUGCCUUACACAUGCAAGUCGAACGGCAGCACGGGUGCUUGCACCUGGUGGCGAGUGGCGAACGGGUGAGUAAUACAUCGGAACGUACCUUAUCGUGGGGGAUAACGCAGCGAAAGCUGUGCUAAUACCGCAUACGCCCUGAGGGGGAAAGCGGGGGAUCGAAAGACCUCGCGCGAUUAGAGCGGCCGAUGCCUGAUUAGCUAGUUGGUGGGGUAAAAGCCCACCAAGGCGACGAUCAGUAGCUGGUCUGAGAGGACGAUCAGCCAGACUGGGACUGAGACACGGCCCAGACUCCUACGGGAGGCAGCAGUGGGGAAUUUUGGACAAUGGGGGCAACCCUGAUCCAGCAAUACCGCGUGAGUGAAGAAGGCCUUCGGGUUGUAAAGCUCUUUUGUCAGGGAAGAAACACCGGCUCUAACACAGUCCGGGAAUGACGGUACCUGAAGAAUAAGCACCGGCUAACUACGUGCCAGCCGCCGCCGUAA
rnacentral:rRNA from 1 species